UGCGAACAGGACUCGCAGGGACUGCUUUUAACCGCCUGGCUCUUCCAAAAAUGUGUCCACGUAAGCGUGCACUGCCGUGUCACCUUCGUGGCAUCGUUGAAGGCGGUUUUUGUUUGCUGCAGAUUGCAUUGCAAGGGAGGAAAGGAAACUGGUGCGUUAUGAUUUUGUAGACGCAAGACCGAAUUUGCAAAUCGGCGUAGUAGGGAAAAGUGUGGGCGUUGGCCGCUAACACUGGAAGAUCUCAGUGAUGCUGUAGGCAGCUGUUGCUUUGGGACGCCGACCCCCCUAUAACGGCGAUCUCGACUAGCGCUUUGUUAUGGUGUCCUCGAAAACCGCGCCACCCACCACAAUCGCCCUACGCUUUGAAUAAGCGCCUUUUCGCCGAAUACGACUACACUUGGAAUUGCUGCUACUUAAAAUGAUGACGUAGGCUUCUGUGCGUUUGGUGCUUGUAUAGAUCGGUCCCCUUUGACUUUCACAUAUGCCGAUUAGCCAGCGCAAAGUGCAUUCGCAGACUGCGGUGGUUUUAUGGCAGGGUUUGCAAUUAGCUGAGCUUCCUUUUCAAAAUUACACCGUCUCCUUUAGACUAAUUUUUACAAGUUUCAAUUCUAAUUAAAAAAAUUUUAAUGUUGAGGUUUAGUUUUUGGGAAUUUAAAGCUGCGAAGAUUUUAAGUUUCGAUAGGCACAAUUGUAUGUAUUCAUUUUAUCGGUUAGAGGAAACCCCUGUGUAUUAAAGGUACAAGCAUGCCUUGCCAUUGGGCGGUGUUGAUAUUGGAGCUUUAUUACGCAGAACCAAUUUAUGCUGUACUCAGAUGGGUUUACAAGUCCUUUGACGUGCUAAAUGCAGGACCCUUUUAAAUUUCCGGAUGUCUGGAUUGCCACGUGACAAGACUAUCUAGUGACGUACAAGGAAGGGGAUUCCUCUUUCUCAUAAACAACAAUGCAAUGUCCGCGAAAUCCAAAAAAGAAGCAGGCCGGAGUGGUGAAGAUCAAAGUCUUUUCCCAAACUUUUAUACUGUGCUGCUUUAACAUUUAAAUAAAUGCAAGGUCCUGAUUGCAUUGUGAA